rnacentral:rRNA from 1 species
CUACGGGCUGCUGCAGUGAGGAAUAUUGCACAAUGGGGGAAACCCUGAUGCAGCAACGCCGCGUGGAGGAUGACGCAUUUCGGUGUGUAAACUCCUUUUAUCAGAGAAGAAAAUGACGGUAUCCGAUGAAUAAGCUCCGGCUAACUCCGUGCCAGCAGCCGCGGUAAUACGGAGGGGAGCAAGCGUUAUUCGGAAUCACUGGGCGUAAAGGACGCGUAGGCGGGUUUUUAAGUCAGGUGUGAAAUCCUAUGGCUCAACCAUAGAACUGCACUUGAAACUGGGGACCUAGAGUAUGGAAGGGGCAGGUGGAAUUAGUGGUGUAGGGGUAAAAUCCGUAGAUAUCACUAGGAAUACCGAAAGCGAAGGCGACCUGCUGGGACAUUACUGACGCUGAGGCGUGAAAGCGUGGGGAGCAAACAGGAUUAGAUACCCCUGUAGUC